rnacentral:rRNA from 1 species
UACCUAGGGUGCAAGCGUUAUCCGGAAUUAUUGGGCGUAAAGAGCUCGUAGGCGGUUUGUCGCGUCUGCUGUGAAAACUGGAGGCUCAACCUCCAGCCUGCAGUGGGUACGGGCAGACUAGAGUGCAGUAGGGGAGACUGGAAUUCCUGGUGUAGCGGUGAAAUGCGCAGAUAUCAGGAGGAACACCGAUGGCGAAGGCAGGUCUCUGGGCUGUAACUGACGCUGAGGAGCGAAAGCAUGGGGAGCGAACAGG